AGUGAACGCUGGCGGCAGGCCUAACACAUGCAAGUCGAACGAGUGGCGGACGGGUGAGGAAUAUAUGGGAAUCUACCCGGUCGAGGGGGAUAACGACUGGAAACUGACGCUAAUACCGCAUACGAUUGAAUGAGCCGAUGUGGGAUUAGCUAGUUGGCGGGGUAAAGGCUCACCAAGGCGACGAUCCCUAGCUGGUCUGAGAGGAUGAUCAGCCACACUGGAACUGAGACACGGUCCAGACUCCUACGGGAGGCAGCAGUGGGGAAUAUUGGACAAUGGGCGCAAGCCUGAUGCAGCCAUGCCGCGUGGGUGAAGAAGGCCUUCGGGUUGUAAAGCCCUUUUAUUGGGGAGGCGGUACCCAAAGAAGAAGCACCGGCUAACUCCGUGCCAGCAGCCGCGGUAAUAC
rnacentral:rRNA from 1 species